GGUCCCACUCUAUGACAUCUACUCAACCGCCGGUUCUGUCCAAACCAGAUUCGCCGCCGGGCCGGUUCCGCUCCACCGCCGGCCGCCGGCCGGGCCGCAACUCGCGAGCGGACCGCGCGGGGAUGGAGACGCACGGUAUGCGUACCGGCUCGGCUCGGCGGCACGCAGUGCCGAAGAGUCGCGGAAUGGGGGGAAGCGGCGGUUCCCCACUAGGCCACGGGGUACAGUCGAUGGCGGCGGCUGGGCGUUCGCUGCUCCGGCUGCUGACACUGGCAGCGUGCGCAACGUCAAACGCUUCGAGCCUGCGUGCAGUCCGUGCUUUUGAUCCAUGACACGUUGAGGCCACCAUUGCCCUCCGGCGAGAGCGCAUCCUGGAAGUCAAUGAGGGAGCUCCUCUCUUGCUCGGUACAGGAGGUGGAGAGAGAGGCAAAGGAGGGCAGGAGGACAAACGCCAGACUACAAAAAGGCAUGGCCAGUUUGAUGUUGUUGUGCUCGGAAAAUUGAGUGGCUGCUUGAUUCUCUCAUGAAACUCACAUCUGCUUGUUUGCUCAGUUUGGGCCCUGAUUGGCUACAGAAUCAGCGGUACUUUCUGCAAUUGCAUGGAGGAAGAAGAUAAUUGCUACUUC